UGAGGUUCUUGUGUUUUCUUCCACAAGCUAAGAGAGAAGAGGAGUGAAAUUCUCCCACGGUCACGCCGCUGUAAUGGAGGAGCAGGAUUUUUUUACGUCACUGGAAGUCCGGGAAGGCAAAAUCCUGCAAAGAUACCUGAGUCAGAAGACCUGCCCAUUU
rnacentral:ncRNA from 1 species